GAUGAGCGCUGGCGGUAUGCCUAACACAUGCAAGUCGUACGCCUCACUUCGGUGAGGAGUGGCGGACGGGUGAGUAACACGUUAGUACCUGCCCCAAAGUGGGGAAUAACUGCCCGAAAGGGUAGCUAAUACCCCAUAGUCUCCGGUUUAUCCGGAGUAAAGAUUUAUCGCUUUGGGAGGGGCUUGCGUUUGAUUAGCUAGUUGGUGAGGGUAAUGGCCCACCAAGGCGACGAUCAAUAGCUGGAUCGAGAGGUUGACCAGCCACACUGGGACUGAGAUACGGCCCAGACUCCUACGGGAGGCAGCAGUGAGGAAUCUUCCACAAUGGGCGAAAGCCUGAUGGAGCAAUACCGCGUGCAGGAUGAAGCUUUUCGGAGUGUAAACUGCUUUUCUGAAGGAAGAUUAUGACGGUACUUCAGGAAUAAGGAUCGGCUAACUACGUGCCAGCAGCCGCGGUAAGCUCGUCUCUA
rnacentral:rRNA from 1 species